AGUGAACGCUGGCGGUAGGCCUAACACAUGCAAGUCGAACGGCAGCACAGAGGAGCUUGCUCCUUGGGUGGCGAGUGGCGGACGGGUGAGGAAUACAUCGGAAUCUACUCUGUCGUGGGGGAUAACGUAGGGAAACUUACGCUAAUACCGCAUACGACCUACGGGUGAAAGCAGGGGACCUUCGGGCCUUGCGCGAUUGAAUGAGCCGAUGUCGGAUUAGCUAGUUGGCGGGGUAAAGGCCCACCAAGGCGACGAUACGUAGCUUGUCUGAGAGGAUGAUCAGCCACACUGGACCUGAGACACGGUCCAGACUCCUACGGGAGGCAGCAGUGGGGAAUAUUGGACAAUGGGCGCAAGCCUGAUCCAGCCAUACCGCGUGGGUGAAGAAGGCCUUCGGGUUGUAAAGCCCUUUUGUUGGGAAAGAAAUCCAGCUGGCUAAUACCCGGUUGGGAUGACGGUACCCAAAGAAUAAGCACCGGCUAACUUCGUGCCAGCAGCCGCGGUAA
rnacentral:rRNA from 1 species